rnacentral:rRNA from 1 species
CGGCUGUUCAGUAACACGUGGACAACUGCCCUCGGGUGGGGGAUAACCCCGGGAAACUGGGGCUAAUCCCCCAUAGGUGAUGGGUGCUGGAAUGCCCCAUCUCCGAAAGCGCUUAGCGCCCGAGGAUGGGUCUGCGGCGGAUUAGGUAGUUGGUGGGGUAACGGCCCACCAAGCCUAAAGAUCCGUACGGGCUGUGGGAGCAGGAGCCCGGAGAUGGACCCUGAGACAAGGGUCCAGGCCCUACGGGGCGCAGCAGGCGCGAAACCUCCGCAAUGCGGGAAACCGCGACGGGGUUAGCCGGAGUGCCCGUGCAUUGCACGGGCUGUCGGGGUGCCUAAACAGCACCCCAUAGCAAGGGCCGGGCAAGGCCGGUGGCAGCCGCCGCGGUAAGACCGGCGGCCCGAGUGGCGGCCACUCUUAUUGGGCCUAAAGCGUCCGUAGCCGGCCCAGUAAGUCCCCCGGGAAAUCUGGUCGCUUAACGAUCAGACUUCCGGGGGAUACUGCUGGGCUAGGGACCGGGAGAGGCCGAGGGUAUUCCCGGGGUAGGGGUGAAAUCCUGUAAUCCCGGGAGGACCACCUGUGGCGAAGGCGCUCGGCUGGAACGGGUCCGACGGUGAGGGACGAAGGCCUGGGGAGCGAACCGGAUUAGAUACCCGGGUAGUCCAGGCUGUAAACGAUGCGGGCUAGGUGUCACCGGAGCUACGAGCUCCGGUGGUGCCGGAGGGAAGCCGUUAAGCCCGCCGCCUGGGAAGUACGGCCGCAAGGCUGAAACUUAAAGGAGGGGGCGGGGGAGCAG